UUCUUAUCAAGAGAGACGGAGGGAUUGGCCCGAUGAUGUCUCAGCAACCAGCCGGGUUUCGGCAAGGUGCUAAUUCCAAUAGGUAUAAGUCAUACCUUGAAGAUAAGAA
rnacentral:ncRNA from 2 species